rnacentral:rRNA from 1 species
UACGGAGGGAGCUAGCGUUAUUCGGAAUUACUGGGCGUAAAGCGCACGUAGGCGGCUUUGUAAGUAAGAGGUGAAAGCCCAGAGCUCAACUCUGGAAUUGCCUUUUAGACUGCAUCGCUUGAAUCAUGGAGAGGUCAGUGGAAUUCCGAGUGUAGAGGUGAAAUUCGUAGAUAUUCGGAAGGAACACCAGUGGCGAAGGCGGCUGACUGGACAUGUAUUGACGCUGAGGUGUGAAAGCGUGGGGAGCAAACAGG